GCACACGAGGCCCACCCGACCCGACUAUCGGCGACCCCGAUCUGACUACGGAUCACCGGUCAUCUGACUACGGAUCAGAUGGUUGCGGGUUCGAAUCCUGCCGAGUGCA
rnacentral:tRNA from 1 species